GUCGGAGCGCAACUUCUUCGGGAGAGCAGACUUUCCACUGCUAAGUGCGGCCCCGGCGGGAGGGUGCCGGGGUCCAGGUCUAAGGAGCGGCGCCGGGCGGCGGGGCUGGAUUGGGUGGUGCAAAUUCAGCGAACGCGCUUAAGACGCACUCCUUUCCGGUCACUUAAUCUCUCUUCAUGGUGGGAACUGUUUGUGUCCAGAAUUAAGCUAUAUUUAAUAAAGGGCCAGGAUGAGGUGGUCGUGCAGCAUUUUGUUCUGGAGAACCUAGGAUCAACUGUAUGUCACAACAUAUUCCGUAGGCGUUCCCGUUCCCGUCCAUGGGCUGGGAAGAGACAGUAAACUUUAUUUACCGUGAUGUUUGGGGACUGGUACGAAAGGUGGGUAUGGGGAUAUUCUUUCAAUUACUAUUUUCCAGCUUUUCAAACUGUGCGUGUACAUUUAAGUUGUUGAGUUUUUUCAAUAUUGACAACGUAUCAGGAAUUUAAUAAAAGUACUAUCCUGGUGACAAU
rnacentral:antisense_RNA from 1 species